AGUGCAGCGCUCGCCUUCACGCCCACCCAGUCCCGCCUCCUGUCCUGCGCCAGGCCAGACCGCUAAGCAGGACUCAGCUUCGACUCGGAUUUCUCCGCGAAAGCCCGAAGCAGCCUCCAGCCCUCGGCUCGAGACGCGCAGGCCAGGGCUUGGGGUCUGCCGCUGCUGCCCCGUGCGGCGUGGCCCGCUCUACCCACGGAAACCCGCACUCACCGAAGACCUCGCCAAGUAUGGUGACCUUGGCCACAUUUGCCUGACUUUGUGUAACGACUUUGCCUCUCACCCUGGAAAUGAGCUCCUCCUGCUUUGCUGUCUGUAAGUCCCCAGAAAGUGGUACUUUGUGUGAUCCUGGCUCUGUCUGCUUCUGAUUUGGGUUUCCCCGACCCUAUGCUGGUGACAUCAUUCCUCAUAUUGCUACUUGGGCUUUGCUCUCUGGAAGUGGCAUCAGGUAGACCAUGAUCAUUGGGAAAGGUUGUCAUUAGUGAUUAAAAGUAACAAGAACGAAGUCAAGACAGGUGUAAUGACCGCUCAGUGGCUCAGCGACUCCCAGAUAUGUUUAUUAUGACAUGGCUCCAACUGAACACAUAUAAUGUGACAAUCAGUCAUGGAAGGCCUCUAUUUUAAGCACUUGGACUCAUUUUAAAAGCAGAAUUUUAAAAAAUAUACACAGUGCUGACUUCACACUUAAAAUUGUAGAAUUCAGUGGGCCAAGCUGAAGACAUACAUAGAAAAAUGAAAGUAUGGAAAAUGGUUUCCAAUUGUUUCGUUGAAGGUGUUGGCUGCACUGCACUGAGGGUCCUGGCUGCAGCUGUUCACUGAAGGUCCUGGUGCUGCGGUGUGGCCUGCUGGCUUCUGCUUGGCAUCUAAAACAGCUGGAUCAUGGACUCUCUGGACUUCCCAAUGCCAACCCAUUUGACUGAAAGGGCAACAAAGAACACAGCAUGGAGAUGAUGAACAAAAACGCUUUUCAGCAGGUUGGGGAGAUGAGAGCUUCCUUGUAAACAGGAGAACCUGAGUUUGAUUCCAAGAGCUCGGGUUGGAAUGCUACCCUGAUAAUCCCAGUACUGAGGAAGUGGAGAUGGGAGCCCUGGGGCUCACUGGCCAGCCAGUCCCGUGCACUCAGUGGUCUCUAGGCCAGUGAGAAAGCCUGUCUUAAAAAGAUGUAGACAAGGUCCCUGAGGGUGACCCUGAGGCUGUCCUCUGCCUCUGGACACUUGCACACACACUUUACAAAAUGUUCCUUAAUGCUGUAGCUUGUGCUUUUCAUUUCCCUCGCAAAGGAGCUGUUUGUUCACCAAGCAGAGUUGUUUUUUUGUUUUUUGUUUAUAAAGUCAUUUUUAGAUUUUUAA